rnacentral:tRNA from 1 species
GGAAGCGAUCGAGUUCCUGGUGGGCUCCCCGGUCUUCAAAACCGUGCGGCACCUGCGUGCAGGUGCGGGGGGUUCGAUUCCCCUUCGCUUCCGCCA